UCCGCAACAGUCACUCUUGUGUUAGCAAUACUGUCUCUAAGCUUGCCAUCUCAAAUCUCAGCUGAUACCUACUUGUACUCAUCACCUCCUCCUCCCAAGAAGCCCUAUUAUUAUCACUCUCCUCCACCACCUUCACCUCCUCCACCUAAGCCAUACUACUAUCAUUCACCACCACCACCUUCACCUCCUCCACCCAAGCCAUACUACUAUCACUCACCACCACCACCUUCACCUCCUCCACCUAAACCAUACUACUAUCACUCACCACCACCACCUUCACCUCCUCCACCUAAACCAUACUACUAUCACUCACCACCACCACCUUCACCUCCUCCACCUAAACCAUACUACUAUCACUCACCACCACCACCUUCACCUCCUCCACCUAAGUCAUAUUACUAUCACUCACCACCACCACCACCCAAAAAGAAGCCAUACUACUACCAUUCUCCCCCACCACCUUCACCACCUCCUCCUAAGCCAUACUACUAUCACUCUCCCCCACCGCCUUCACCUCCUCCACCUACGCCAUACUACUAUCAUUCUCCCCCACCACCCUCACCACCUCCACCUAAGCCAUACUACUACCAUUCACCACCACCCCCACCGAAGAAGAAGCCUUACUACUACCACUCUCCACCACCACCUUCACCUCCUCCUCCAAAGAAGCCAUACUACUACCACUCCCCACCUCCUCCCAAGAAGCCCUACAAAUAUUCAUCUCCCCCACCUCCAGUGCACCCUUACCCUCAUCCUCACCCCCAUCCCCAUCCACACCCCCACCCUCACCCUCCCUACGUUUACAAAUCUCCUCCCCCACCCCCUAAGAAGCCAUACAAGUACCCAUCCCCACCACCUCCAGUCCACGUUUACCCUCACCCUCACCCGCAUCCACACCCUCACCCUCAACCUCACCCCCAUCCACAACCCCACCCUCCCUACAUUUAUCAGUCUCCUCCACCACCCCCUAAGAAGCCUUACAAGUACCCAUCGCCUCCACCUCCCGUCCACCCAUACCCCCAUCCCCAC
rnacentral:lncRNA from 1 species